UACGUAGGGUGCAAGCGUUGUCCGGAUUUAUUGGGUUUAAAGGGUGCGUAGGCGGAAUAGUAAGUCAGUGGUGAAAUCCUGCAGCUUAACUGCGGAACUGCCAUUGAUACUGCUGUUCUUGAGUACAUUUGAUGUGGGCGGAAUGUGUCGUGUAGCGGUGAAAUGCUUAGAUAUGACACAGAACACCGAUUGCGAAGGCAGCUUACUAGGCUGUAACUGACGCUGAGGCACGAAAGCGUGGGGAUCAAACAGG
rnacentral:rRNA from 1 species